UCCCCAUCAUAUGUGCAUCAAGUAUGAUC
rnacentral:piRNA from 1 species